rnacentral:rRNA from 1 species
GAUGAACGCUGGCGGCGUGCCUAAUACAUGCAAGUCGAGCGAACGGACGAGAAGCUUGCUUCUCUGAUGUUAGCGGCGGACGGGUGAGUAACACGUGGAUAACCUACCUAUAAGACUGGGAUAACUUCGGGAAACCGGAGCUAAUACCGGAUAAUAUUUUGAACCGCAUGGUUCAAAAGUGAAAGACGGUCUUGCUGUCACUUAUAGAUGGAUCCGGGCUGCAUUAGCUAGUUGGUAAGGUAACGGCUUAGCAAGGCAACGAUGCAUAGCCGACCUGAGAGGGUGAUCGGCCACACGGGAACGGAGACACGGACCAGAGGCCUAAGGGAGGCAGCAGUAGGGAAUCUGCCGCAGUGGGCGAAAGCCUGACGGAGCAACGCCGCGUGAGUGAUGAAGGUCCUCGGAUCGUAAAACUCUGUUAUUAGGGAAGAACAUAUGUGUAAGUAACUGUGCACAGCUUGACGGUACCUAAUCAGAAAGCCACGGCUAACUACGUG